GUCCUUGCACUGGAUGAAUCGGCAUUAGAUGUGGAUCAGGUUGACAACCUAAUCAAGUUUUGUCCAACAAAGGAAGAAAUGGAAUUACUAAAGGGUUACAAUGGGGAUAAGGACAACUUGGGAAAAUGUGAACAAUUCUUUUUAGAAUUAAUGAAAGUCCCACGAGUAGAGUCCAAGCUAAGGGUAUUUUCUUUCAAGAUACAAUUCCGAUUGCAGGCCUCUGACCUUAGAAAUAGUCUGAAUACUAUUAAUGCGGCAUCUGAAGA